GUCGACCCCUAAGGCGAGGCCGAAAGGCGUAGUCGAUGGGAAACGGGUUAAUAUUCCCGUACUUGGUGUUACUGCGAAGGGGGGACGGAGAAGGCUAUGUUGGCCGGGCGACGGUUGUCCCGGUUUAAGCGUGUAGGUGUGUGUUCCAGGUAAAUCCGGUUCACUUUAACACUGAGGCGUGACGACGAGGCACUACGGUGCUGAAGCAACAAAUGCCCUGCUUCCAGGAAAAGCCUCUAAGCAUCAGGUAACAUCAAAUCGUACCCCAAACCGACACAGGUGGUCAGGUAGAGAAUACCAAGGCGCUUGAGAGAACUCGGGUGAAGGAACUAGGCAAAAUGGUGCCGUAACUUCGGGAGAAGGCACGCUGACACGUAGGUGAAGUGAUUUACUCAUGGAGCUGAAGUCAGUCGAAGAUACCAGCUGGCUGCAACUGUUUAUUAAAAACACAGCACUGUGCAAACACGAAAGUGGACGUAUACGGUGUGACGCCUGCCCGGUGCCGGAAGGUUAAUUGAUGGGGUCAGCGCAAGCGAAGCUCCUGAUCGAAGCCCCGGUAAACGGCGGCCGUAACUAUAACGGUCCUAAGGUAGCGAAAUUCCUUGUCGGGUAAGUUCCGACCUGCACGAAUGGCGUAAUGAUGGCCAGGCUGUCUCCACCCGAGACUCAGUGAAAUUGAACUCGCUGUGAAGAUGCAGUGUACCCGCGGCAAGACGGAAAGACCCCGUGAACCUUUACUAUAGCUUGACACUGAACAUUGAGCCUUGAUGUGUAGGAUAGGUGGGAGGCUUUGAAGUGUGGACGCCAGUCUGCAUGGAGCCGACCUUGAAAUACCACCCUUUAAUGUUUGAUGUUCUAACGUGGACCCGUGAUCCGGGUUGCGGACAGUGUCUGGUGGGUAGUUUGACUGGGGCGGUCUCCUCCUAAAGAGUAACGGAGGAGCACGAAGGUUGGCUAAUCCUGGUCGGACAUCAGGAGGUUAGUGCAAUGGCAUAAGCCAGCUUGACUGCGAGCGUGACGGCGCGAGCAGGUGCGAAAGCAGGUCAUAGUGAUCCGGUGGUUCUGAAUGGAAGGGCCAUCGCUCAACGGAUAAAAGGUACUCCGGGGAUAACAGGCUGAUACCGCCCAAGAGUUCAUAUCGACGGCGGUGUUUGGCACCUCGAUGUCGGCUCAUCACAUCCUGGGGCUGAAGUAGGUCCCAAGGGUAUGGCUGUUCGCCAUUUAAAGUGGUACGCGAGCUGGGUUUAGAACGUCGUGAGACAGUUCGGUCCCUAUCUGCCGUGGGCGCUGGAGAACUGAGGGGGGCUGCUCCUAGUACGAGAGGACCGGAGUGGACGCAUCACUGGUGUUCGGGUUGUCAUGCCAAUGGCACUGCCCGGUAGCUAAAUGCGGAAGAGAUAAGUGCUGAAAGCAUCUAAGCACGAAACUUGCCCCGAG
rnacentral:rRNA from 1 species